GGCACUGUGGCGGAGUGGUUAACGCGAGAGAUUAGAAUUGUUCGAUGCUGUCAUUGACAGGAUUCGAACCUGUGUGAUCUCUUCCACUUUGUGGGCACAGGUUCGAGUCCUGUCAGUGUCG